AUCAUAGAAGAGCUUUUGGACGAACUCCACGGCGCAGCCUGGUUUUCCAAGCUGGAUCUUCGAGCGGGAUACCACCAAAUACGACUGGCUCCAAGGGAAGAAUACAAGACCGCGUUCCAAACGCACCAAGGGCACUUCGAAUUCAAAGUGGUGUCAUUUGGAUUGGCAGGAGCGCCAGCCACGUUCAUCGGGGCAGUCACAACUACCCUCCAACCAGUCAACUGUGUCUGCGUAAUUUCGUUCUUCGACGACAUAUUGGUGUUCAGUGCUACUCUGCAAGCACACGUUGCUCACUUGCGCCAAGUCCUGACAUUGCUUCGGCGAGACAGCCGGUAUGUUAAACUUAGUAAAUGCGUGUUCGGGCAGCAA
rnacentral:rRNA from 1 species